rnacentral:snRNA from 1 species
AGCUUUGCGCAGUGGCAGUAUUGUAGCCAAUGAGGUUUAUCCGAGGCGUGAUUAUUGCUAAUUGAAAACAAACAAACAAACAAAC